rnacentral:rRNA from 1 species
AGCCCAAACCAGAAACUUGUUUCUGGGGUUGUGGAUAGAUCAUAAAAGAAGAGGUAUCUUAAUCGAAGAGGGCUGGAACGCCCUACCAUAGAAGGUAAUAGUCCUGUAGGUAAAAAGAGAAAACUUCAAGAUCUAAUCCAGAGUACCACGAGACACGUGAAACCUUGUGGGAAGCAGGGAGGACCACCUCCCAAGGCUAAAUACUACCUAGUGACCGAUAGUGAAGCAGUACCGUGAGGGAAAGGUGAAAAGAA